AAAGCGAGGCAGGCUGACGGAGGAAUCCACGCUCCGUAAGGACCGUCGUGUGUGUGCCUGCUGCUACAUGCCCGUGUUUUACAAGGGUGAGACUGUCGUCUCCCCCCAGCCCCUGCCUGCGUAUCUCCUCGGCGCUGCGUUGGGGACCGUGGGAAGCUGACUGCUCCUGCCGACCUCCACCCCCAAGGCUGCACCUUGCUCCCCGGCAGCUUGAAAACAGAACUUGGGGACAGCCGAGAAGAGUUUGGGCUGAGCACGAGCAAGGUGAUGGGAAGCCACAGUCCCAAUCUGCCGCCUAAGCAAACACAGGGUGUAUGCAGGCACCCUCAGCUCGCGCCGAGUCCACCGUCAGCUUUCGCAGGGGAGAGGGGAGCACCCCAUCAGGGUGCCCAGCCAACAAAACACUGGUGCCUGCUGCUCAAUACAAUCCCCGUUUUUUGCUCUCUGUGGGGUGAGAUGGAGGGAUAACCCCUCUGGAGUAAUCCGAAAGUAAAGGCAAACAUAGGCAAUACGAAAUAUAGCCUAGCAGGUGAUGAAAGCAUGCGGAGGUAAUUCCAAACUGCCGUUCAGAGGCUGCAGCAUCGUCUGCCCAGCCCCACUGGGUAAACUGACCCCAGCCCUGACAUUGCCCGUAACACCACCGGGUGCUGAGAGCCUCACCCCACGGCAGUGCUAACCCCCCGCUCGGCUGCUCCCCGAGACCCGCCGGUGUUUGCUGAGCACCGGUGUUACGGGAGCCGUGUCGACGCCUGGUCAUGAACCGCCGCUGUUUGUUUGCUCACUCUCUCCCUGACCCUGGUGCACGUCGAUCCCCGAGGGUGCAGUCUGCUAAAGCAAGGGGGGAGCGCUCGGCAGCCUGACAUAAACACCCCGGGCUGUGCCAGCCUCGUCUUGCGCCGAAGAACAGUUUACCACCGUCGGUGGGGGCACAGCACAGACCAGGUGAGGCAUGGGGUUCAAGGUAAAACCAACAUCAGCGGUGAGAUCUAGGUCUGACUUAUCCACUCCAGGAGCGGGUUGGAAAACAAAUUUGCGGAGCAAGCCUGCAAAGAAGAGGAACAGCUCCAUUUUGGCCAGUCCUUCUCCAAGGCAAGCCCUUCGUCCUGAAAACAACCAGGAGAGAAGUAAAUGAUCAGCACCGUAACUGUUAGUGUUGAUGUCUGAGACCUUCUAAACUGGAUGUACAGUCUGUAAGAGCAGGCUGCUGAGGAAUUGCCUGUUUUCCUCCUGCCUGCUCGCUCAGACCCUACCUCUGUCAGCGACUGGAACGGCUUUUUCAGGUCCACCACAUUCAAGUUUCCGAUCAGAGGAAGAGGUCGUGGCCCAGGAGGCAAACUGCGAACCGACUUCUUCAAGCUGUGGCAGCAUUAAGGGACAGGACCCGUGCUGGAUUGCUGUCACGUGCCAGGUCACAGGACUCAGCUGGACCACUGGUGAUGCAAUGGUCCUGAUCCUGCAGGACGCAGCAGGGAAAGCCCACAAUAAUGCAUGGCCCAGAGUGCAGCUGGCAAGAAAGUCCUCAGGGAAGACGAGGCUGACCAAGGAGGAGUUGGAACGAUGGUGGCAUGAAGAUGUGCUAAUUCAGGAUUGCAGGCGGGAGUAGGUCUACUUACAGGUGACAGCUCUAAUUCUCUUUGCUUGCCUGCCACCCCAGUAAAAUCACCUCUUUGAGCAACACCGUGUUUUCAUUGCUGACACUGUUACUGAUCUUUGUCCCCCAAAUCCUCUACCGGUAAUUCCCAAAUGCCCCUGAAAUCACUUCAGUCACUAUUUUGCAGCUUACUGUCCAGAGGACUGUGCGCCUCCAUGUCCAUCUCCGUCUCUGAGUUUGGUGAUAACUCCUUCCCCGCUGUCCUGCCUGUUUAUGAGCAGAUGCAUGCAAUCCUCUAGCAGAAACCAUCCCCUCCAGGUAAUCCUUCUGCCUGGAUUGGGAAAGAGAUCCCGGAUCUUUGUAACCUGGGAGGAGCGAGGACCAGGCUCUGCAGCCGGCCAGGCAGAGGAUGGAGGACAGGGGCUGCCUGGGCAGCUAUUGCAGAGGGGGUGCCAGCCAGAAGGAGCACACAGCAACAGCGCUGGCACUCCAGGUGUACUGAGUCAUGCACCAUGCCAGGGCAGGGUCCUGCAAGAGCCCGCAUGCCUGGGCGACAGCUCCCCAGCAGCCACCCACCCGCAUCCUUGGGGGAUGACAACAAAGCAGAAGUGAUCAUGAACAGGAGGCCACGGUUUUAAAUGGUGGCAUUGAGGGAAGGAGUCAAUUUGAUGCUCUAUCACAUAUUCUCAGGUGGGGAUAUUUUGCUCCCCAGCUGCAGAUUCUGUCAGAUUACUUGGCCAUGCUGCUGUUCAACCCUUUAGAAAUCUUUAGUUUUAAUAAUACUUUUGCUAGAAUCCUCCAAGGCUCCCGGGUGCAGGCUCCACUGAUGGAAAAAAUGAUGAUUAUUUAUUAAUAAUAAUAAAAGUACAUUAGCCGAAGGCAAGGGGAAUCAAUAAACUCUAACUAGAUUGACAUGAAAAAGGUGCCUGCAUGUCUGCCUGUUCUCCAAGGCUUGUUAUCAGGAGUGGAGUUUUUCACAAGGGGGAAUUACCCUGUGCAGAAGAGGGCUAGGCAGGGUGGGCAAAGAAAGGAGGGCAAUGGAUGGUCAUGUCCAUCUCAAGAUUUGCUGCACAACUAUGAGGUCUUGGUCUGCACCCUCUUCUCCCAGACAUUUCCAAAAAUAUGCUGUUUUGCCAGACUCUUCCCUGAAAAAAAUGGAAAAAACUACCAGGACUCUUGAGACUUUAUAAGGUACAGUAAGAGUGAGGAAAAAAACCUUGCAUGAGCCCAGUUGGGUACCAAUGGAGGAAAUUUAUUGUUUCUGUUUAAUAUAGCCAUCACUGCUCUGAUGGAGUAGAGCUGGCUACGGCCACAGAAAGCAAAAGCACCUUCUCAAGGGCUUUCAGACUGUUUAAAGCUUCAGGUUGUACCUGCUGAUAACAUAGGGUGAAAUCCUUUCUCAAGUAGUGAACCUAUGGACUUGCAACCUGCUGGACUGAUGUAUGCACUCUGGGAAAUGAUGGGCGAGUUCUCCAAUGGGAGGGAAUCAUUGCAGUUUUAAAAUCCAACUAACGUGAUGUCCUCACCUCCAUUUCUUCCUCACAUACCUUGGCUUCUAGUAUGCAAUCCUGAACACAGCCUGCAGCUGAGUUGUUGGCUUGCAGAUGAGGCAUCCCACACAGGACUGGGGAGAAAACAUUGCUCCCCACUCACAAGUCUUUGUCUUUCUAUCAGCCCAAGACAGAACCGAUAGCAUCUUCAGGUAAGCAGAUUUUGUGGGCAUAGAUCAGGGAAAUGGUUCCUCCUAGAAAAUGAGCCUGUACAUUAAACAGCCACAGAGUCAUCUAACUUCUGUGUGCUCAUUUGGAGGGCAUAUAAUCUUCUAAUGGGACAUAGGUCAAUAAUGCUACAGUAAUAGUAGGAUAAUGCAGAGAAAGAGCUGUUAUAAGGCCAUAAUUCAGUCAAUGAGUUCUGAUAACAUAAUAAACCAUGAAAGUGAACAGCAAGUGCUUGUGUGCCUUGCAAGGCUCUGCCACUGAUUUACAACCUCAAGAGAUUCCUAUCAGCCUGUGCAUUGUUACCAGGGAUAUAUAAAGCAUGAGCACACCCUAUUAAACAUUAACAUUUUUAAAGACUCAGAUGUGUUAAAACUCAGGCUGCUCCUUGCUAAUGGAUUUUGCUCACCUUGACAAAUGCCAGUGCAAAAAGAAGUCAAGAGCUUUCUGACUUUGACCUCUUUCAAUUUUUUCAUAAUUAUUGCUUUGUUUUAUUGGAUUACAUCCACUUCUUCCCAUCCUGCAAAUUGGUAUUUCGAUAGGAUCACUUCAGGGUAGUGAUCAGUAUCUCAAGUGUUCGUUACUUUCAUUUUGAUACAAAUAACUUUUAAUUUAUCUGUCAAAUCAGCGUGUGUUGCACAUCUACUUUGGGAAGAAAGACUCCUGAAAAAUACUUUUAAAAAUCAUUA